CCUACGGGGGGCAGCAGUGAGUAAUAUUGGUCAAUGGGCGUAAGCCUGAACCAGCCAAGUCGCGUGAGGGAUGAAGGUUCUAUGGAUCGUAAACCUCUUUUAUAAGGGAAUAAAGUGUGGGACGUGUCCUGUUUUGUAUGUACCUUAUGAAUAAGGAUCGGCUAACUCCGUGCCAGCAGCCGCGGUAAUACGGAGGAUCCGAGCGUUAUCCGGAUUUAUUGGGUUUAACGGGUGCGUAGGCGGCCUUUUAAGUCAGCGGUGAAAGUCUGUGGCUCAACCAUAGAAUUGCCGUUGAAACUGGGAGGCUUGAGUAUGUUUGAGGCAGGCGGAAUGCGUGGUGUAGCGGUGAAAUGCUUAGAUAUCACGCAGAACCCCGAUUGCGAAGGCAGCCUGCCAAGCCAUGACUGACGCUGAUGCACGAAAGCGUGGGGAUCAAACAGGAUUAGAUACCCGGGUAGUC
rnacentral:rRNA from 1 species